UUUAUUCCGUAUUGAACCUGUGCAAAAAUGUCUGUUAACCAUUAAGCAAGUUUGAUAUUCAAUAUCAAGUCAAUCAAAGUCUCUUUUAAAUAUCUGUUUGUACCUCAGCAAUAUUUCCUCACCCUGUCUGCUUGCCCUUUACACUCUCUCUCUGAUUGUUACCUUUGAACCCCCUCAAACGUUAGUGUUGUGUUUUAAACCACAGCGGCACAUAAUCCAAUGUAUUUCAGCAACACUUUGAAAUCUCCUGAACUGACUAAAAUGCCAGUCCAUUGCCUUUGAGAAGAAUUGGUCCAAGUUACCCCUUUUUUUCUCUUGGAUUUUAACCCUCAAUAAAGCAAACACCUUCCUUUUCUCUCUCUGGCAACCCAAACCAUAGUUGGGUAGAUCCAGCAAGACUUUAUUGCACUGGAUUUGAUCCCAGCAAACAAAAGCUGCCCUGUCCACUUCAUCCCCAGAUGUUUUGUAUUGAUCUCCCUGUGGUUUUGGCAGGGUGGAGCAGCUGGGAUUGUUGCUCCCCUUUUCUCUUUUUUCGUUGCAGACAGAAUUAGAAAACAAAGGAGAAGGAAAAGUCUGCGGGUGUUUUUUGCUCCACGGUUCGUGUCUGCUGGGCGAAGUGUCACAUUUCAGGCAGAAGUGCGGCUGGCCUUGCUCACUUUGUUAUCUCACUCUCUCUUCCCCUUACCCUAUCUCUCCCUACACUCCCUGAUUAAUAAUGCAGAGUGUCUCUUCAUCUAAUGUUCGGCUGUACAGAAGGUGAGUGCUGCGGAUGGGCAAGUGAGGAGUGUACCUGUAUGCCUUCGAGGUUCAGAGACCUGGCUGAUGGCCUAAUGCUGAGAGGCAUGAGGAGGAAAUGGACAGCAGAGAGGGCGUUGGUGAAGUGUUAUGAAGCAAGCUCAUUCCCAUUGUCUCAUCCCAUAUAAGUUAAUAAGUCCCCUUUCAUCUUCUGAAAUGGCAGUGAAGCGCUGAAAGAAACAGCUCAAGUGGAACAGCAUGGAGCCGAGGUAAGUG
ensembl:lncRNA